rnacentral:misc_RNA from 1 species
CAAUUACAAAAAAGAUCAGCCCUAAUGAAAAUUAAACCUAAGGAUUACUUACAAAGAAACUGAACCAAGGUCUGUGGGUGAGAGGCAUGGAACUGAGAUUUUCUUGUUGAGGAACAAAAUCCUAUAUCGACAAUUGAGUACACUUGAGAACCAAGGUUUGCAGCUGAGGAACAGAAUGAGUACAUGCAGCGGCCAGCAAUGGUCCAGAGGGAGAAACAGAACCAAGGAGAAGAGAAGGGGAGGGAAGGCAAGAAGAAGAAAAAUAAGAAGAAGAAGAAGAGAG